UGGGGAAUAUUGGACAAUGGGGGCAACCCUGAUCCAGCGAUGCCGCGUGGGUGAAGAAGGCCUUCGGGUUGUAAAGCCCUUUAGGUUGGGAAGAAGUAUAUGGAGUGAAUAUCUCUGUAUAUUGACGGUACCGACAGAAUAAGCACCGGCAAACUCUGUGCCAGCAGCCGCGGUAAUACAGAGGGUGCGAGCGUUAAUCGGAGUUACUGGGCGUAAAGGGCGCGUAGGCGGUGAGAUGAGUGUGAUGUGAAAGCCCUGGGCUUAACCUAGGAAGUGCAUCGCAAACGAUCUUGCUGGAGUAUAAGAGAGGGUGUCGGAAUUUCCGGUGUAGCGGUGAAAUGCGUAGAGAUCGGAAGGAACGUCAAUGGCGAAGGCAGACACCUGGCUUAAUACUGACGCU
rnacentral:rRNA from 1 species